CACCUCGUCGGCGAGGCCGUACGCCACCGCCUCCUGGGCGGUGAACACCUUGUCGCGGUCGGUGUCCGCGCGCAGCGUC
rnacentral:tRNA from 1 species